rnacentral:rRNA from 1 species
UACGUAGGUGGCAAGCGUUGUCCGGAAUUAUUGGGCGUAAAGCGCGCGCAGGCGGUCCUUUAAGUCUGAUGUGAAAGCCCACGGCUCAACCGUGGAGGGUCAUUGGAAACUGGGGGACUUGAGUGCAGGAGAGAAGAGUGGAAUUCCACGUGUAGCGGUGAAAUGCGUAGAGAUGUGGAGGAACACCAGUGGCGAAGGCGA